UUUGGGUCUGAUACGUAUCAGUCCAAUGAUACUUCUGAUACCCAAUAUCAUAUGAUGUGGCAUGUGCUGAUUGGUCUUCAAUCUCGUUUUGCCGAAAGACAAAAAAAAAAAAAAAAAAUCAUUUUUGUCUCUCCUCUCCACUCUCCCGUGAAAACCAGAAAACCCUAGACGGCGAUUUCGAUUUCUCCUCUCCUCCGCCGAUUCUUCCUUGCCGAUCCUGCCUUCGCUCCCUCCGCUUCUCCUCCGGCUUCAUCUCUUCGAUCUAUUUCACUUCUCCAUUUCUUCUGUGUAGAUUCGUGAACAUCUCUCCUCCGCUGUCUAGAGUUUUCCGCCUCUUUCUCAACUCUCUCUCUCGAAAAUUAGAUUUUUCAAGAAGCAGAGUGUGGAAGAACGCGAGCACGCUAAGCUGUUGAUGGAGUAUCAGAACAAACGUGGUGGGAGAGUCAAGUUACAGCCCAUGGUGCUGCCACAGUCUGAGUUUGAUCAUCCUGAGAAAGGUAAUGAUCUCUAUGCCAUAUAGUGAUUGUUGGUGUUUGUAGCCACGGCCUGUGAAUGCUAUUUUGGAUUAACAGUUCACAUGCCAUGGAGGUUGCUAUAAAGAUUCUGCAGUUAUUGGUUAGUAAGCUUGAUGGUGAGAGCAUGAAUAUAGAACGCUUCUUAGAACUGUCCUUUUGGUGGUGAGUCUACUUACUUGGUCAUUUUUGUUUUCUUUUUGCAAUAUAAUUACUAAAGCAUCAAUGCUGAAGUUGGAAUCCAAAUGCAUUGUUAUUUUAUUUAUUCAGGUUGUAUGGUCACAAUGUAUUAUUCGGAUGUACCUUUGUUAUUUUUUUUUUUGGUGAAUGUAGUACCUUUGUUAUUUUGUAUGGUCACAAUGUAUUAUUCGGAUGUGGAUUUCUAUUAUAUAUAUAAGUCUUUGUCUUCUCAUA